UAGGGAAUCUUCCACAAUGGACGCAAGUCUGAUGGAGCAACGCCGCGUGAGUGAAGAAGGUUUUCGGACCGUAAAGCUCUGUUGUUGGUGAAGAAGGAUAGAGGUAGUAACUGGCCUUUAUUUGACGGUAAUCAACCAGAAAGUCACGGCUAACUACGUGCCAGCAGCCGCGGUAAUCGUAGGUGGCAAGCGUUGUCCGGAUUUAUUGGGCGUAAAGCGAGCGCAGGCGGAAGAAUAAGUCUGAUGUGAAAGCCCUCGGCUUAACCGAGGAAUUGCAUCGGAAACUGUUUUCUUGAGUGCAGAAGAGGAGAGUAGAACUCCAUGUGUAGCGGUGGAAUGCGUAGAUAUAUGGAAGAAUACCAGUGGCGAAGGCGGCUCUCUGGUCUGCAACUGACGCUGAGGCUCGAAAGCAUGGGUAGCGAACAGGAUUAGAUACCCUUGGUAGUCCAUGCCG
rnacentral:rRNA from 1 species